CGACCACUACGACCACUACUACGACUACGACCACUACUACGACUACGACCACUACUACUACUACGACCACUACUACUACCACUACCACUACCACUACCACUACCACUACCACUACCACUACCACUACCACUACCACUACCACUACCACUACCACUACCACUACCACUACCACUACCACUACCACUACCACUACCACUACCACUACCACUACCACUACCACUACCACUACCACUACCACUACCACUACCACUACCACUACCACUACCACUACCACUACCACUACCACUACCACUACCACUACCACUACCACUACCACUACCACUACCACUACCACUACCACUACCACUACCACUACCACUACCACUACCACUACCACUACCACUACCACUACCACUACCACUACCACUACCACUACCACUACCACUACCACUACCACUACCACUACCACUACCACUACCACUACCACUACCACUACCACUACCACUACCACUACCACUACCACUACCACUACCACUACGACUACGACUACCACUACGACUACGACUACUACGACUACGACUACUACGACUACUACGACUACUACGACUACUACGACUACUACGACUACUACGACUACUACGACUACUACGACUACUACGACUACUACGACUACUACUACUACUACUACUACUACUACUACUACUACUACUACUACUACUACUACGACUACCACUACGACUACCACUACCACUACCACUACCACUACCACUACCACUACCACUACCACUACCACUACCACUACCACUACCACUACCACUACCACUACCACUACCACUACCACUACCACUACCACUACCACUACCACUACCACUACCACUACCACUACCACUACCACUACCACUACCACUACCACUACCACUACCACUACCACUACCACUACCACUACCACUACCACUACCACUACCACUACCACUACCACUACCACUACCACUACCACUACCACUACCACUACCACUACCACUACCACUACCACUACCACUACCACUACCACUACCACUACCACUACCACUACCACUACCACUACCACUACCACUACCACUACCACUACCACUACCACUACCACUACCACUACGACUACGACUACGACUACCACUACGACUACGACUACGACUACGACUACGACUACCACUACCACUACCACUACCACUACGACUACGACUACGACUACGACUACGACUACCACUACGACUACGACUACCACUACGACU
rnacentral:lncRNA from 1 species